UUAUUCACAGUUUAGGAAAUAUUAAGUUGUGAUCUUAAAGAGAAUUGAGUAAA
rnacentral:tRNA from 1 species